GCACCAUGAGAAGAUGACGGCAGAGAUCUGGGCGACGCGUCUACAAGCCAAGCGACACCAAAGGUGGCCAGCAGCCCAUGUGAAGCUGGAGGAGAGGCCUCGAAUAAAUGCUCCCUUACAGCGUUCAGGGGGAACUGACCCUGUCCACACCUUGACCUUGAACUUCUGGGCUCCAGAACUGUGAGACAGCAUGUUCUGUUGUUGAAGAUACAACGGUGGAAUAAAAUAUCUUCCAGCCAACAUAUUUUUUGGAGACGGAAUCUCACUCUGUCACCUGGUUGAAGUGCAGCAGCGCGAUCAUGGCUCACUGCAACCUCUGCCUCCCGGUUUCAAGUGAUUCUCCUGCCUCCGCCUCCCGAGUAGCUGGGAUUACAGGCAUGUGCCACCCACCACGCCUGGGUAAUUUUUGUAUUUUUACUAGAGACAGGGUUUCACUAUGUGGGCUGGGCUGGUCUCAAACUCCUGACCUCUGGUGAUCUGCCCACUUCGGCCUCUCAAAGUGCUGGGAUUACAGGCAUGAGCCCCCGCACCCGGUUGCAACCAACUUUUUUGUGGAAUAUAGGAUCUUGAUGUUUGGAUGCCUGAAGGCAGAAGCUGUUGCACAUGGAAUGGAUUAAAGUUUUCCCCUCUGCAACCAAAAAUCCUUGGGGUCCCAGGAGCAAAAGAUGCUCCAUGGCACAGGACAAUUCAAGAAGGCCCGAGGUGAUAUUGAAGACUGCAGAGACAUCCAGCUCAGUUGUGUCUCCGGAGGUGUCCAGACUUUGCAGACAGACGUUGCACAUAAAGAGCUGAAAAACUGAGGAAGCUGAGCUGGAGAAGGAAGUCACUUCUACUCAGACUUGACCUGCGUCUGAUGCUAUGGGGCCUCUUAGGGUUACCUCAUGCUUCAUGCACCCCUUUCUCUGUUCUUCAGCAGAAGGCAGGGUGUAGGGAAGCGGGACUGUGCCUCCUUUCUCCCUGCCAGGCCUGACUCUCCAGGCCAAGAGACACCAUUAAGGAGUAUAAUUUGUUGAUCCAGGCUCUCCUUGCGUUUCAGUGCAGAGUGGCAUCGUUUUCUUUAUGACCUCGUAAAGUCACAGCCGAGAGGCCGAUUUGGAAAACAAACUGCCUCAGGUUGACAGAUAAUUAGAUACAGGGGACAUAUUAUAUGCCUUUGCAUAUAAAUGUGCUCCGAGGCGUGUUGGUUCAUCUGAAGUUGAGGUUAAAGGCGCGCCAGGUAUUCCUGACACAUCAGGAUAUAUAUUUUCAUACAGUCUCAGGUGCUGUGUUGGUUUUAUAGGCCUUUCAUCCUGGUGCUGACGGAUGGGGUGUGAUUGUGACCCAACUUAGAAGAAAGGGACUUCCCUUGCCCAGGGGCCUCCUGGCGUUUUUGUUUUGUGUUCUCCCUCUCCACCCCCACUUUCUCUUCUUCCUUGGGAAGGGAACUGUUCUUUGGACCUAGGAUUCUGCCGUGAGUGACUAAUGGCCUGAGUAGGAGGGACCGGGACUCAUUUUUCUUUUCUGGACUCUAAUAGGCCCAAUUAAUUCAGCUACAACAUGGGCCCUUACAAGCCUGGGACAAGCCUGGGUGGAAUUCUAUAUUGAGGAGUUAAUCCUAAUAAAAAAUGAUUACAGAAGAGGACGCCUCCACCCACAGGAAGGAGCCAGCACGGUGGGGAGCUGUUUCACCAGGGGAGUGUUCUCAGCAGCUGCCACACGUGGAGUUGUGGAGGUAGCAAGCAGAGUUGGGGGAGGAGGGGGAGCCCUGGUUCCUGCUCUUCCAUGAUCAGUGUGCAGCCUUGAGCAUGGCACUCCCUCUCUUCCCAGCUUAGUGUCCUCAUCCGUAAAAUGAGGGGCUCUCUGAGAGUCUGCCAGGGCCGCUGUCUGAUCUGUGACAGCGUGGCAUGUGGUGUGGUAUGUAAUGCACGUUCCUGCCUGCAGGGAGGCCCUCUCCCUUCCCCCACCAGGCUUCUGGGCAGCACUUGCUGUCAUCCUUGCUUCUGGAACAGGACUGUGCUGUUUUCCAGGCCAAAUUGGAGGGCUGAGGGGGUCUAUUAAGAAGACUCUGGGGAGAUGGUGGAACAAUUCUGUGCUUGAAAUUACCUUCCUCUUUAAAUCUUGCCAUGGCCCUAUUAGAAAAGCUAAGGGGGCAGGAGGAGAGGAGCGGGCAGGGAGAGGAGAGAGAGAGAGAAGAAGGAAGAAGGAAAGGGAAAGGUAAGAAACCCCAUAGCCCGACCCUCAGCCCUGUUGAAGGAGAUUAUAUAAAUAGAGUCGCUGUCACUUUGAUGAAUUAAAUCCUCCGUUAAUUAGGACGCAUCCAUUUAAGGGUUGUCCAGCCAGAUAGUCCUUUUCCCUUCCCAGCAAGUCAUAGCUCAGGGAGGAGGCAUGAGAGGGAUCGUUUUCUGUUUCUGGCUUGAUUGCUGGUUUCUUUCUUACUAGGCUUCAUUAAUUAUCCUGGAAUGUGGUCACCCAGUUUUCUUCAACAUGGGCCAUUCUCCUUUUAGCAGGAUCUUGGCAGUGGACUGCCACGGGAGCUCUGGGGAAAAAGGACCAGUUGGACUCCAGUACCUCCUGAGAGACCACCACCCUCCAUGCCUCCAGCUCAUGCCCAGCUCUGAGUCAGACGGACUCUUCCUGUUGUACUGCGAGGUUCUGCAAACCUUGAAGGGCAAACACAGUGAGGGUCUCUGACUUGCUGUGUGGACAGCCCACUCUCUGACAGCCCAGAUCAUCUGAAGCUAUCCCUGGGCUGGGAGCUGGAAGCCAUUCUUGUGAACCACUCCUUAUACCUUGAGCGAAGCCUCUUUGGGUCCCAGAAGUCUGAAGCUCCAGCUGCCUGGCAAGACUGAGUCUAGAUGAUUUCUUGGGUACCAGUAGUUUGGCAUUUAAAAAUACUGGAUUAACUGCAGUGUAAACUUAGAUUGCAUUUCAGAUUGUAAACAAUAACCCCCGUGCUUCAUGUGAUGUUAAAUCAGAAAUGAGCUAUUAGCCAAGCUAGUCCUCUUAUGAAUGAGCCCCUAACCCUGAUCCAGGGAUCGUUGAAUGAAAAUCAUCAAAAUGAUUUAUCUUCACUUUACCUAUUGUCUCACAAGAAUCUCAUCACUCAGGGAAAAGGAGGGUGUUCUUCAGGGAACGGAGGGCAUGAGGAAGGGGGAUUUCCUUAUAUCUCAACUUUCAGAGGGAGCUGAGUUGUAAACAGAUGGAACAAGGUGUGUACGAGAAGCCUCUUAGAUUUAGUCUUUCAUAUCAAGGCUCUUGCUGAAAAUCCUGGCACAGCUGUGAAAUGAGGGGAGCUCUGACACACAGAGACACGCUCCUUGCCUCACCAACCUUCCCAUACACAGUCAUGCGCACAGAGAGCAGGUACCAAUACUGAAAAUGCCCUUCCGGAGUUUCCUCAGCUUAAACCCUUGACAGCAUUAAGUGAGGAAGGAGUUUCCUUGACCUGGGGAAGAAGAACCAACUCAUAAACAUGGAACUGUGCCCACUGCCUUUUCCUUUGCUCUGUGGAUUGGCUGUGGUUCUGCCCUGGCACUCGGAUGUCAAGUUGCUCUGGCUGUUUGGGAGGAAGCCCAGCCUGGGUCAGGUGGUCAUAAGCCAGAGGCCCUGUCCUGUCCCCAGGGUUGGCCUCCCUCUGGGGUCCAGCAUGGCCCCAGUGCUGAGGCUCCCACUGCUGGGGAAUGUGCCCUCUCCUCUCUUUGUUUCCAUACCAAGGGGAUCUGCAGGGUAGAGGGCAAAUUAUUCUUAGCAGAUUGGGGCUAUGGGUAAACCAGAAGGGAUGAGGGAGAGAGGAGAGAGGAGAGGAAAGGGAAGGAGAGGGGAGGGCAGGGGAUAGGUAGAGGAGAGAGACAGCAAGAAAAAAUAG
rnacentral:lncRNA from 1 species